UGGUCAAGCGGUUAAGACACCGCCCUUUCACGGCGGUAACACGGGUUCGAAUCCCGUAGGGGUCACCA
rnacentral:tRNA from 1 species